AAUAGAAAAAAUUAUUUUUAAUUAAAAUAAGUAUUAAAUUAAAAUAAAAAAAUUUUAUUUUAUUAUAAUUUUAGAAAAAAUUUUUUUAAUUAUAGUAUAUUAGUAUUGUGAAAGAAAUAAUUUUUAUUAAUUUAAGAAGAAUUAUUUUUUUGUACCUUGUGUAUCAGGGUUUAUUUAAUAUUUUUAAUAAAUAUUAAUUUCUCGAAUUUGAAAGAGCUAAUAAAAUAUUUUUUUAAUGUAAAAUAAUUAUUAUAAAUAUUUUUAUAGAAAUGAAAUGUUAUACGUUUUCGAAUAUAUCUAGUUUUAAAAGAAAAUAAUUUAAUUAAUUUAUUAAAAAUAUAAAAUUAAUUUUCUAAUUUUAUAUUAAUAGUGGGUUAUAUUUUUAGGGAUGAGCUUAAAAAUAGAUUUUUAAAAAUUUUAAUUUAAAUUUAAAAAAUUAUAGGAUUAGAAGUUUCUAUUAUUAAAAUGAUGUUAUAAUUAAUUUUAAUAUUAAAAUAAUUUAUAUUUGAAUUUUAAAUGUUAUAUUUUAAUAUAUUUUUUAAUUUUUAAAAAUUAAAAAUUAUGAUAAAAUUAGUAUUAUUUACUUUAUUAUUAAUUUAAAAUUUGAGGUUAAGUAAAGGAAUUAGGCAAAUAAUUUUUUCACCUGUUUAUUAAAAACAUGGCUUUUUGUUUAUAAUUUAAGGUCUAACCUGCCCACUGAAAAUUUAAAUGGCCGCAGUAUUUUGACUGUGCAAAGGUAGCAUAAUCAUUAGUUUUUUAAUUAAAAGCUGGAAUGAAAGGUUGAAUGAGAAAAAUUCUGUCUCUGUUUAAUUUAUAUAAAAAUUUUAUUUUUAAGUUAAAAAGCUUAAAUUUUUUUAAAAGACGAGAAGACCCUAUAGAGUUUAAUAUAAUAUAAUAAAUGAAUUUUUUAGAAUUUUAAUUUUUAUGGGUUAAUUUAUAUUUAGUUGGGGUGAUUAAAAAAUUUAAGAAACUUUUUUUUUAUAAAAACAUUAAUUUAUGAAUUUUUGAUCCAUUAUUUAUGAUUAUAAGAUAAAAUUACCUUAGGGAUAACAGCGUAAUUUUUUUUUAGAGUUCAAAUCGAAAGAAAAGAUUGCGACCUCGAUGUUGGAUUAAAAUUAAUUUUUGGUGUAGAAGUUAAAAAUGUUUGGUCUGUUCGACCAUUAAAAUUUUACAUGAUCUGAGUUUAAACCGGUGUAAGCCAGGUUGGUUUCUAUCUUUAAUAAAAUUUAAUAUUUUAGUACGAAAGGACCAAGUAUUAAAAAUAGUUAUUUAUGAAUUUGAAUAUUAA
rnacentral:rRNA from 1 species